AGCUGUGAUGAGCAUUGCUUUCUUCUGACACCUCUUGUAUGAGAAGCGAGCCUCUUUUUGAGAAGCCCUUCGUUGAGCAGAGCAUAGCAACUCUCUGAGCU